CUGCAACCUCCGCCUCCUGGGUUCAAGUGAUUCUCCUGCCUCAGCCUCCUGCGUAGCUGGGAUUACAGGUACAUGCCACCAUGCCCAGCUAAUUUCUGUAUUUUUUUUUUAGUAGAGAUGGGGUUUCACCAUGUUGGCCAGGCUGGUCACAAACUCCUGACCUCAAAUGAUCUGCCACCUCGGCCUCCCAAAGUGCUGGGAUUACAGGCGUGAGCCACCACGCCCAGCCAAGCCCCUGCUCUCUUUACAGCCAGGGCUGCCUCCCUCACACACCUGCCCAAAGGGCUGGCAGCAUCUGCACUCAAGUGAAGAGAUCUAAGCACCUUUGAGCCCCAGAGCAGCAGGUGGGGGCUACCACCAGCAUGGGGCCUUUCAUGCGGGAGAUCCCACAGCCCUUCUCCUUCCCCUUCCUCCUCCCUUGACAAUGUGUUCAGGUCUCCCACAGCCUUUGGCACCAAGAAAUUCCAAUAGAUGUUAACCAGCCUGGUAAUUUAGUACAGCGUUAGCACCAAGUCGCCAAGGUUGAGGAUAUGCUACCGUGACACACCCUCAGGAGGUUCUGACAACAUGUGCCCAAGGUAGUCAGAGCACAGCUUGGUUUUAUACCUUUUAGGGAGACAUGAGCCAUCACUCAACAUAUGUAAAAUGAACACUGGUUCAGUCUGGAAAGGCAGGACAAUGUGAAGCAGGCAGGGGGCUUCCAGAUCACAUAUGUGAGAGACAAACGGUGCUAUUUCCAAAUAUUUCCAAACUACUCUCUUUUCCAGCUACUCACCAGGAGGAAAGUAAAUGCCUGUCAGACAUGGUUACUAAUCACCGCCGGUGGGUGGGAUGAAAAGGAGCUUACUGAUGACUGGCCAGGUGCUCACCCUCACCAGGUCUCAGAUUCCUCUUUGGCUAAUGAGGGAGUCAAUUCUCUAUUGGGGGUAGCAAGUUCAAAUGCUCGGGGCAAGUCAGGUAACACAACCCAGUGAAGCAGGUAUGAUGUUUGUAUAUGAAGUACUUAUGAGCCUCACUUUCCUAAGUAAAUAGGCUUUCUCCUAUUUUCCUUGAAAUGCAUACCACUGCCAGUCUGUUUCUCUUUAUCCCAAUUUUGACAGAGACAUAUGUAUAAAAAAUACAUUUUUAGGCCAGGAGUAGUGGCUUAUACCUAUAAUCCCAGAACUUUGGGAGGCCCAGGUAGGAGGAUUGCUUGAGGCCAGAAAUUCAAGAGCAGCCUGGACAACACAGUGAGAACUCCAUCUCUACAAAAUAAAAAAAUUAGCCAAAUUGGAGGCAAAGGCGGGUGGAUGGCCUGAGGUCAGGAGUUCAAAACCAGCCUGAUCAACAUGGUGAAACCCCAUCACUACUAAAAAUACAAAAUUAGGCAGGGCAUGGUGGCUCAUAACUGUAAUCCCAGCACGUUGGGAGGCCGAGACGGGUGGAUCAUGAGGUCAGGAGAUCGAGAUCAUCCUGGCUAACGUGGUGAAACCCCGUCUCUACUAAAAAUACAAAAAAAGUUAGGUGUGGUCGCGGGUGCCUGUAGUCCCAGCUAUUCAGGAGGCUGAAGUAGGAGAAUGGCGUGAACCCGGGAGGCGGAGCUUGCAGUGAGCCAAGAUCACGUUACUGCACUCCCGCCUGGGUGACAGAGCAAGACUUUGUCUCAAAAAAAAAAAAAAAAAAAAAAUUAGCCAGGUCUGGUGGUGCAUACCUGUAAUCCCAGCUACUUGGGAGGCAGGAGCAUCACCUGAACCUGGGAGGUGGAGGUUGCAAUGGGCCGAGAUCAUGCCAUUGCACUCCCGCCUGGGCAACAAGAGCAAAACUCCACCUCAAAAAGACAGGACAGGACACGACACGACACAAUAAGACGAGAAGAAAUAUUAUGUCUUUCACAAAAAUCUUUCAGAAAAUAAAAAAGGAUAGAUCAUGUUCCAACUCCUUUAAUGAGGCCAGUGUUACCCCAAUAUCAAAGCUAAACAAACACACCAAAAUAAACAAAAAUUAUAGAACAAUAUCUCUCAUGAAUAGAGAUGCAAACAUACUCAAUAAGAUAUUAGCAAACAAAAAUCCAUCAACAUGUACAAAAGAUUAUACACCAUGACCAAGUAUGAUUUAUCCCAGAAAUGCAAGGUUGGUGUGACAUCCAAAAAUCAAGUAAUGCUUUCUCUAGUAUAUGGUGAGGUUUUUAAAAUUAAUUAAUUAAAAACAACAAAACCUCAAAAUCAGUGAAUGUAAUGUACUAGAUUAAUAGACUAAAAUACAUCACAUUGUCAUUUCAAUAGAUACAGAAGCAUUUGACAAUAGCCAACAUACAUUCGUGGUAAAAACUCUCAACAAACUAGGAAUAAAAGUAAACUUCUUCAAUCUGAUAGAGGGCAACUACAGACAACCUACAGUUAAUGUACUUAAUGAUGAAAGACAGAAUGUUUCCCACUCAAGAUUAGGAAACAGGCAAGAAUGUCUACUCUUACCACUUCCAUUCAACAUUGUACUACUGGUCAUAGCCAGGGCAACUUAAAAAGGGGGUAGAGGGAGAAAGAGAGAGAAAGGUAAAUUAAAGACAUCUAGAAUGAAAAGAAAAAAGUAAAACUGUGUUUAUUUGUAGACCACAUGAUCUGUAUGCAGAAAAUCCCAAGUAAUCUAUCAAAAAAUUUUACUGGAAUUAAUAAAUGAGUUUAGCAAACAAGGUUCAAGUAUAUAAGGCCGAUAUGUAAAAAUCAAUUGUAUUUCUACAUACUAGUAAUAAACAAUGUGAAAAUGAAAUUAAGGAAACAAAAUUUCAUUCACAGUAACACCUAAAAGAAUAAAAUACUUAGAAAUGAGUUUAAUGAAAGAAAUGCAAGACUUACAAUAAAAACUAUAAAACUUUGCUCAGAGAAAUUGAAGAAGUUCUAAAUUAGAGGCAGCAAACUACAGUCCAUGGCCCUGAACUGGCCCCCUGUUUGUUUUGUAAAUAAAGUUUUAUUGAAACACAAUUUUUUUUUUUUUGAGAUGGAGUUUUGCUCUUGUUGCCCAAGCUGGAGUGCAAUGGUGUGAUCUCAGCUCACUGCAACAUCCACCUCCCAGGUUCAAGCGAUUCUCCUGUCUCAGCCUCCCGAAUAGUUGGAAUUACAGGCGUGCGCCACUAUGCCUGGCUAUUUUUUUUGUAUUUUUAGUAGUAACGGGGUUUCUCCAUGUUAGCCAGCUGGUCUUGAACUCCUGACCUUAGGUAGUCCACCCGCCUCAGCCUCCCAAAGUGCUGGGAUUACAAGCAUGAGCCACCGCGCCGGGCCAACACUGCUUUUACACUACAAAGCAAAGUUGAAUAUAGCCCACAAUACCACAAAUAUUUUUACUAUCUGGUUCUUUGCAGAAAAUUUGCUAAUCCCUGAUUUAAAUAAUCCCAUGUUCAUAGAUUAAAAGACUCUAUUGUUAAGAUGACAGUCCUCCCCCAAUUUAUUGAUAAAUUUCUGCCAAUUUAAAAAAAAUUAAUGUCGUUCCUAAGAAAGUGAGUCCAUUCCAAAUACUGCGAAAUCAAGGGAAAAAAUUAAAAAGUCAGUCCUGGCUGGGUGCAGUGGCUCACGCCUGUAAUCCCAGCACUUGGGAGGCCGAGGCAGGUGGAUCACCUGAGUUCAGGUGUUCAAGACCAGCCUGGCCAACAUGGUGAAACAGUGACUCUACUAAAAAUACAAAAAUUAUCUGGGCAUGGUGGCAUCUGCCUGUAAUCCCAGCUACUAGGGAGGCUGAGGCAGGAGAAUCGCUUGAACUUGGGAGGCGGAGGUUGCAGUGAGCCAAGAUUGUGCCACCACACUCCAGCCUGGAUGACAGAGUGAGACUUGGUCUCAAAAACAAAAACAAAAAAAAUAGUCCAGCAGGUUUUUGUGGAAAUUGAUAAGCUUUUGCUAAAAUUUAUAUAGAAAAGCGAAUGACCUAGGAUAGCCUAAAUAUUCUGAAAAAGAACAAAGCUAAAAAAAAAACUUACACUAUCCAAUUUCAACACUUGCUAUUGUUAAAGAAAAAUUUUGCACCAGACACUUGUCAAAAAUGUCAAGACAGAUUUUAUUCAGACUACUGUGGCAGGGAAGAGACACUUCAGCAUUAACUGAGCUCAAUUCUACCAAACCAGAAGGCAAGAGGCUUUUUAAAUGCUAGGAUGUGUUAAGGGAAAAGUACUGAAGGAUGCUAGUUGAGGGGAGGGAGGUUUGGUCAAUGAGUACACUGACCAGAUUGUGAACUUGUGCUUAUCAAAUUGUGAACUGGUGCUUAUCAAUAUCAGGGUCCUACCCUACCACCAAGAUUGGGAGACAGAGGCUCUGUCCUACCUAAUGAUUACAUUUCGAAAGGAUGGCUCCCAGGUCCUUGGGAAAGACAUUCCUGUGUUAUAGAAGAUACAUUUCCAAGAGACAGAGAAAGGAUUUCUAACUGCCAGUUUUCUAAAGUAAAUCCUUUAGGAAAAGGGGGUUCGGGGGCCUAUAUUCAGGUUUUGCCUGGAACAAAUCAUAAAUUCUUUGGGCAGCAUUGAAUUUUAUUAGGCAGAAACUUAAGGGGGCUGAAGUCAUCAUCCUAAGGAUGUGGCCAUGAACUGUUAGAAACAACAGUGUUUGUUGAAGUCUCUUAGUGCCAGAGGUGGAUGAAAUCAUUUGUGCUGAGAGUCUGCAGUUUGCUUUUUUAUUUAUAUUUUAUUUUUUAUUAUUUAUCUUUUUUUU
rnacentral:lncRNA from 1 species